rnacentral:rRNA from 1 species
GACGAACGCUGGCGGCGUGCUUAACACAUGCAAGUCGAACGGAAAGGCCCUGCUUUUGUGGGGUGCUCGAGUGGCGAACGGGUGAGUAACACGUGAGUAACCUGCCCUUGACUUUGGGAUAACUUCAGGAAACUGGGGCUAAUACCGGAUAGGAGCUCCUGCUGCGUGGUGGGGGUUGGAAAGUUUCGGCGGUUGGGGAUGUACUCGCGGCUUAUCAGCUUGUUGGUGGGGUAGUGGCUUACCAAGGCUUUGACGGGUAGCCGGCCUGAGAGGGUGACCGGCCACAUUGGGACUGAGAUACGGCCCAGACUCCUACGGGAGGCAGCAGUGGGGAAUAUUGCACAAUGGGCGGAAGCCUGAUGCAGCAACGCCGCGUGCGGGAUGACGGCCUUCGGGUUGUAAACCGCUUUCGCCUGUGACGAAGCGUGAGUGACGGUAAUGGGUAAAGAAGCACCGGCUAACUACGUG